rnacentral:lncRNA from 1 species
UGGAAACCAGCUCCUCCAAAAUAAAUGUCCAGGCUUGUCUGAAACUUGCUCCUCAUCACAUCAUCUAUCAGUAAUUUUCAAUUAAGUGUACAAUGGGGUCUAGCUCCACCCUCCCUUAUGCCUGUAAUGACAUGACUGGAAACGUAGGGCAUUUUAAUUCUACAACUAUUAACCAGUCCCAGCUGGCCACAGCUCAGCAUUUUCAGGGGCUCCUACAUAUAAAAUCUUCAACCUCUAGUACAAGGAUGAUCUCUUAACCACAAGAAAAACAAAUGAAUCCCAAGUAGAAGAACGUCAAUAGAUUUUAAUGUAUAACUAAUAUCUACAGACCCCUGCCCUCACCCUUAUUCCCUGUAGUGGAUGCUGGGAUGCAGCACCACACCCCUCUUUACCGACUGAAGCAUGUGUUCUCUCAGCUGCCAGCAGGGUUGGCUGCAGAAGGCUUAUGACUGAGUCCCUUCCUGGGAACUGCUUUCUGUGGAAGGCAGACACUUAUGCCCCUUCCCCAGAGACACCCCAUAUCCAAUGACUAUAUGAUAUGAGGCUACAAAGGCCUAGCCCUCUUGCCUCAACUCUUGGCUAUGCUGAAGGACAAUCUUAUUUCCAGAACUUCCUGUAAGAUCAGCUGAGACAUCUCCUGUAAGUCUGUCACAGUUCAACUUCUCCAUGUGCCUAAUCCUGCUUCCUUCACUCCCUCACAGGUGUUGAUCCCAAGUGUAAUCCUAGGGAACCCGACUUAAGGCCUCCCCAUCUGAAGAACACAAUCUCAAGGAAGAAUUUAAGGGGAAACCUGUCUACACAGUUUGACUUUCUGUAAAGAACUGAAAUCAGAACUGGAAGAGGUCUUAGAAAUCAUCUAGUCCGACCACCUCCUUUGACAGAUGAGGAAGAACACAUGUUCCUCCUUAGAUUUCAAUGCUAAUGGGGAAGAAGAAGGUGCCUAAAAACAAGGAGGGAAAAUCAUUCAAGACAUCUCCAGGACAGCUCCACAAAUAGAGGGGCCUCCAAUUGACCAGAGGAAUCUUCAACUCACCUAGAGCAAAGGUUCAGAAGAUGAAAGGGCUUUCACCUCAGCAAAGUGGAACUGAUAUUGUGGGAGAGUUAUUGAGUAAUAGACCCUCAUCCUCACAUCAAACAUCCCUAACCUUGCCAGACACCAGCCUCUCCCAGACAGCUCACUGAAGAAGAGGUCCAACCAAGACCAUGGCUGGAACCUGGAUGCUCUGAACAGGUGAUGGCAACAAUGAGGUCUCUGGGGAGGAGUAAGGAUAUGUGUGUGUGUGUGUGUGUGUGUGUGUGUGUGUGUGUGUGUGUGUGAAGUGGGUGGGGGGGGGAGAGAGAGAAUAUGAAUGAAGACUCUGGAAAAAUAUACCUUUUGAAAAAGCCACAGGCCAGGUGCGGUGGCUCACACCUGUAAU